rnacentral:tRNA from 1 species
GGGGGUAUGGCUCAAUUGGUAGAGUUACUGCUUAAUAAUCAGAAAGCCCUGAGUUCAUAUCUCAGUACUUCCU